CAGAGACCAGGGGAUUUGGGUGGUGAGCAAGCUAGUAGUUUAAGGGCACUGAAAACCGGUGGGGACCUUCUUCCCACAGUAGUUGAUGAGCAAGCUGAGGUCGACGGGAAUGUUGAGCUUAAUGCCGAGAAUAUUGGCCUUGAGUGCGGUGCAGAGGCAGACGGCGGCCUCGAGGUCAGCGAGGCCUUUGAUGAGAGAGCAGCAUGGCUUCUUGGGUGGCUUGCCGAGGUUGAGGUUGAUGAGGCCGUUGAGCACGUUGGCGCACACGCCUAGCUUGAGGGUGUCAAUGGGGCACUUGCCCUUGGAGCGGCUCGGGGGCUUGGGGGUUGGGCCAGGGCAAACACCACAGCCGCUAACCAGAGCAAAGAAGAGGAGGUUGAGAGCAAGGAAGAGGGCAGCCGAUGCUGAGUUCUUGGAUGCCAUGGCUUGGUAAUCACAAACACCUACCUUACCUAAGUGGGAGAGGGAGCAAUACUAGCUAGUGGUGUUUAUGAUGGAAUGGUUUUGCAUUAGAGGUGUUGGGUAUUUAUAGAAAGGUAGUAGGUAUUUUUACCUCUCUAGUGGAGAAUGGAGGACCAGUAGAUUUUGUAUUCGUUUUUCGAUGGAAGGAGGAAAAUGAAUGAAAGAUAAAGGAAGCUAACACCAUGUGAACUAGGUGGGGGCAAUGCUUGUUUUAGCUGGCAGGAGGAGGGAAGGACAGAAAAUGGCUUGGAGGGUUGUGCUGGUGGGGCGAGGAACCUUGGCAAAUGCCCAUGACCGCCCUCGCAAAAUAUCAACGUCGCCUCCAAGUUGUACGACGGUGCUGCAAGGUGGUAUACGAUAGACAAGUAUUGGGAAGAGCACCUUGGACACCGCUCUAGCUGCUCGGUUUGGCCUAUUACUGCCGACGUCCAUCUUCUUUCUUUCUUUCUCUCUUUCUUUUUCUUCUUUAAUUUUUCUUUUACGAAGAAAAAAAUAUUGUUCGCCUUUCAUGUUGUUUUUUAUUUUUUCCACAGAUUUUUAAGCUUUAGUUUCAGUUAGAAGCUUGGAACGAGGAAGAUGUUUCACCGUAUUUAGACCUGGGCAUUUCCACCAUAAGAAUUUUUUACGAUCAAAAGAUAUGAAUGUCUCUCUCAAAUUUGCCACUCGAGUAUUCUCUCUGUUAAUUUUAAAUAGAAUACUCUAGCACCACCGAGUUGUUGCAUUGUAGAAUACCAAGGCUGCAUUUGAUUUGGCAGGGGCUAAAUGGGCUUGAAUCCCUCCAAGCGAGGGUUAUCCUGCCAAAUACCUUAAAAGGCCACGAAAUAGCCUUAUUGAAAUAAGAAGCCUAAUUAUGCCUCCUAACUAUAAUUUUAUCCUUAAUCACUCUUUUAUAUGCACUAAAAAGUGAAGGAUAAUUUUAUCUUAAAGAUAAAAUAUAGAAAAUUGUGAAAAUCCACACACUCACUUACUCCACUUAUCCAUCCGAUCAAAAGCAAAAAGUAACUUAUUUCAUAGAGUAGAUUAUCCUGUCCAUGGUAAAUGGAACAACCUUCCAAAAAUUAUCCCAUCUACCAAAAUCAACUUAAGAAAAUUAGAUAGGUCGAGCUGAGUUGUAUUUUGAUUAGAUUCAAUACUUUGUCAUGACAACCUUAAAUCAAUUCAAGAUUGGCUUUUCCUACUCCAUGGUCCACCAGUAUUAUUACUUGUAGCCAGGUCUGCCUUUUGCAACUAAAAUCUAAGAGACCGAGCAACCUAUCAUGGAUAUAUAUAUAUAUUUUUUUUGGGUAACGGAAGCAAAUGCAAAAGCAUAUUCUUAAUAAUCGAGUAGAGGAAUUCCAUAGAAUGGGUCUAAUCGACUAUGAAAGAGGCCACCCAAUGGCAUGUUGUUUAAAGAAAACAUGUUGUGUUUUGUUCCCUUCUUAUAUGAUAGAUUUGUCUCAUUUGUGUAAAAGAAAACAAGAAAGAAAACCUGCCCCAACGCAUUCAAAUAUGUGCAACAUUCCAAAAGUAAAAAAUAAAGAUACAAAUGUAUUAAAAAAAGGUUUGCUAGUCGACUUUUCGCAAUACUUUCCUAGAAUUUCAUUAACUACUUGUGAUCCUUCAACUAUUAGAAUGAGAUGAUUAACAACUUCCCAAGAUUUAAAAGAAGAAAUAAUCUUCUAUAUAGCAUCAAAGAGCGUAUCGGACACCUAGCAUUUAGUUAGGUUUAGUUAUGAAGUUUAUUAGUGGUUCUGCAAAUUUGGAUGUUUGAUUAUAAUGCUAGUUAGUUAUAUCAUGUACAAAAGAAAUAUUAGUGACUAAUUGCAAGACCAUGCAGUAGGCGAAGUAGGGUCCAUCCUACGUGAGUCGCAUAUGGUGGGGAUGUUUUCAUACUAGUCAGUACGUAGCUUUUUCGGAGAUUUUAAUUGAUCACAUAGUUUGAUGCUAGAGAAGUAGGAAUUAAAAAAAAAAAUUGUCAACAAACCAAAUGGUAACUUCAAUUAUUGUCCGUAUAUGGUGUACCAGCUGGUCUGAUGUUCACACGAAUGGGCCCUUUGUUUACAUCUUAGGUCGAGUGUUGUGGAUCUGGGGUCCUUUGUUUACUACGUCCGUGGGGCCUUCCAUGGAUUUAUUCUUGGGUACUUCUUAAGUGACCCGGCAUAAAAUCGUUGAUUCUUUGAUCAUGACAAUGAUGCAUCGCAGUAGUGCUAUCCCCCUUGAACAUGGAAUAGCUUGUGAUGAUUUACCAUGUAGCCGAGAAUAGUGCUUAAUUUUUUUAAGCAUGUGUUGGUGGUUGUUAUGUCAAAAUCAAGCCCGUCUAUCAUAAAUUGAUAGGAACCAAAUUAAAUUAGACUCAUAUUCUUAGAUUGAACCAGAUAAGAAAAAUAAAGAAAUAGCUUUCUACUUGAUUCAUCUAUAAAAAAAAAGCUCAAGACUUAAGGUACGAACACAAGCAAGAAGCCCUCUACUUUCUCUUCUCCUUUAUCUUUUUUAUAUCUCCUAUUUUCAGAGUCUUAUCUGAUUUAAGCAUUGGAAGAUUCUGUUGAAAUCAUCACUUAUCCCAAAAGCUUAAGCUUUUAGAAUGAGGUACAUUUAUUUAUAUAUUUUAUAUUUUCUUACACUCUUCCUUACAUGUGGGCCAGACUUUUUUUUUAAUGGGAGAGCCCAACAUAUGAAAUUUUUAAUAAUGGGGUUAAAGAGUGCGGAGAUAAGGUUCGAACUUAGGACAUCUGCUCUGAUACCAUGUUAAAAUCACCACUUAUUCCAAAAAAUUAAGUUUAUAGGAUGAGGUAGAUUUAUUUAUAUAUUUUAUAUUUUCUUAUAAAUUCAUGGCCAGCAACUCGAUCGACCUCGUUUUCUCUUCUUUUUGCACUUCAUUUUCUACCACUGCAGAUCGGUCUAUGCCCUCCACACAUCUCCAAAUUAUCAAAUCGGAUUUUGGCGGCAACAAUGGUGAGACUAACUACAGCACUAUAUGGUAUGGGACUUGUGUACCAGCUGCCGGGUCAAAUGAGCUGCAUCAUGUUAUUCAACAGAUUGUAGAGGGACUAUUCAAGAUAGGCUCCGUGUCUUUCCUCCACUAUGCUGUAGAGGGAUGAUGAGAACUUUUGAUUAAUUCUAAUUAAAGACUUCUAGAUAACUUAGAUCGUCUAAUUUGAACUAUAUAUAUAUAUAUAUUAUUUAGCUAGGAUGGACGAUUCAUAUCUGACGAGUAUGAAUACACCCAAUAAAGAUUUCAACAAUAUUUGAUCAAGUAAAUUGUAACCAGCCAAAACCAAGUUUGUACGUACUUUGAUUAACACACCCAUCUGCAUUCGAAUGUUUAAAUGCAACUACACGUAAUAGCAUCAUGCUACCAGUACCACCUAAAAUAAGCCUCGGAUUCAUGAGAUUUACUCGUGGGAGGUGCAACUUGAUGCUGCCAACACGACCAUGCCCAAGCAAUUUCCUUCACAAGAGCGUCUAUGAAAGUAGAAGUUUACGAGACUUCAGCGGAAGCCUUUUGUCUUCUAAGAAUUGUCUUUUUUUAACGUUGCAUUGGUUGCGUUUGCACCAAUAACAUUAAGGCUGACUCAAUUAGAAAAAUUUGUAUUUACAAGUUACAAAACUCUCUAAUUCACAUGAGCAUGACAAUGAUAGUAAAUUCUCCAUUCAUCGGGAUGGCUUUCUGUAUCUCUCAUCCCCCAUGACCAAAAACGGAAAACAAAAGAAAAAAAAAAUUUCAAGAUGAAAUAGGGCAGGUUUGCUUCCUUAAUUAGAGUUAAAGUUUCAUGAUCCUUUCCUAAAAUUUUACCAAUCAGAUAAAAUUCUUUCAUUAUUCGAAUGAGAAAAAUUAAUAACUUUCCAACAUUUUAAAGAAGAAAUAGUCUUUUACCAAUUAGCUUCAGAGAUCUGCUUGUACACCUAACUUCAGAGAUGUACCCCCAAAAAAAACAAUUAAUUAGCUUUUUUGUGAAGCUUAUUUAUGGUUGGACAAAUCUACAUGCGUGAUUUAGUUGGUGUACACUAGCAGAUUUCCUAAUAUAAAAGGAAGAUUAUUGCCCUUUUACAUGGCCAUGUAAUAGAUGAAUCAAACUAUUCUUAAACAGGGUUAUGACUUAAUAUAUAUAUAUAUAUAUAUAUAUAUAUAUAUAUAUAUAAUAAUAAUAAUAAUAAUAAUAAUAAUAAUAAUAAUAANNNNNNNNNNNNNNNNNNNNUAUAUAUAUAUAUAUAUAUAUAUAUAUAUAUAUAUAUAAUAAUAAUAAUAAUAAUAAUAAUAAUAAUAAUAAUAAUAAUAAUAAAAAGUCUAGAAUCUCAUUCGACCUAAAAAAAAAAAAAGCUAGAAUCUUCGUUGUCUCUGAGACAUUCAAUGAAGAAAAAAAAAUCUGCAUCAUAGGGAAUUAAUUAACAACAAUAACAAAAAAAAAGAAGAAAAAUGGAAAGGCAACUCGGUGCCCCAGGUCAAAAGUUUUCAGUUUCCUUCUUUUGGAGAAUUGUUAGUUUGAGACUUCCCAAGUAUCUCUCAAUUUCUUUUCGUAUUAUAGGAUAUUCAUUUUUUUGACUGAGUUCAUGUUUUAGGAGAUUGAUCAAAAUAGAAGAUAGACCAAAAUUUUUUUUGUCAAAUGCUAUAUCCUUAAAUAGAUCAAAUCUAUUAAUUAUCGUCAUUCAAUCAUCUAAUCAGGAUUUUCAUAAUUUAAAAUUAAUAAAAAGAAAAACUGCAAUUCCCAAUCAGUGUGACCCUGCUCACAUGUACCGCUCGUGUCCCGGAUCUACAGAUGAGUUCAAGCCAGUCAGUACCUUUCCCAGCGCACCCUCUGCCAUCCGGUGGACCAAAGUCUCAUUGGCAAAUGUUGGUACUAUAGUUGUUUUACUAAGAGCAAAGGGUACUUUUAUUCUUACAUAAUCUCCAGAUACAACAGUAGGAGAGUACCAAACACAGUGUACAUCAAACUAUUAUUGCACGAACCGAUCACGUUCACGAGUUGUACUGUUCCCUAAUAAACAACCCAAACCAAAGACGCACCAUGCAAGAAGACAACGACAUGAUUUUAUAUUAUAAUCCACGCACAAAGCAAUAGAUGGUGUUGUUUUUUUUCUUUUUAAGGGCACUGGAAGCCUUUCGGUACCUUCUUCCCACAGUAGUUAAGGAGCAGGCUGAGGUCGACGGGGAUGUUGAGCUUGAUCCCCAGGAUAUUGGCCUUAAGUGCAGUGCAGAGGCAUACGGCAGCCUCGAGGUCGACGAGGCCUUCGAGCAGAGUGCAGCAGGGCUUCUUGGGUGGCUUGCCGAUGUUAACGAUCAAAGCUUUCAGCACGUCGGCGCACACACCUAGCUUAAGG
rnacentral:lncRNA from 1 species